rnacentral:misc_RNA from 1 species
GAUGAAGAACGUAGCGAAAUGCGAUAAGUAAUGUGAAUUGCAGAAUUCAGUGAAUCAUCGAAUCUUUGAACGCACAUUGCGCCCGCCAGUAUUCUGGCGGGCAUGCCUGUUCGAGCGUCAUUUCAACCAUCAAGCCCCCGGCUUGUGUUGGGGACCUGCGGCUGCCGCAGGCCCUGAAAUGCAGUGGCGGGCUCACUGUCACUCCGAGCGUAGUAGUUACAUCUCGCUCUGGGCGUGCUGCGGGUUCCGGCCGUUAAAAGCCUUAUUUACCCAAGGUUGACCUCGGAUCAGGUAGGAAGACCCGCUGAACUUAAGCAUAUCAUAAGCGGAGGA